rnacentral:rRNA from 1 species
GCCGAACAGCUAGCCCACCUGAACAACUUCAACACCCCAAUAUUAAUACCCCUAAAUAUACAACCUACCACAAAACAAAUCAUUUUACCCCCUUAGUAUGGGAGACAGAAAAGGGAUUAGGCGCAAUAGAAAUAGUACCGCAAGGGAACGCUGAAAGAGAAAUGAAACAACCCAGUAAAGCACUAUAAAGCAGAGCUUAGCCCUCGUACCUUUUGCAUCAUGAUUUAGCCAGUGACCCCCAAGCAAAAAGAUUUUUAGUUUGUUAACCCGAAACUAAGGGAGCUACUCCAAGACAGCCUAAUAAUAGGGCACACCCGUCUCUGUUGCAAAAGAGUGGGGCGAGCUUUGAGUAGAGGUGACAAACCUACCGAACUUAGUUAUAGCUGGUUCCCCAAGAAAUGAAUAGAAGUUCAGCCUCCCGGAUUCUCCCUUCACCUCAGUGUACACACCCCCCCCGCCUGCCCUGUGACUAUAAGUUUAACGGCCGCGGUAUUUUGACCGCGCGAAGGUAGCGCAAUCACUUGUCUCUUAAAUGGAGACCUGUAUGAAUGGCACAACGAGGGCUUAGCUGUCUCCUCCCCUAAGUUAAUGAAAUUGAUCUCCCCGUGCAGAAGCGGGGAUAAAUACAUAAGACGAGAAGACCCUAUGAAGCUUUAGACGUAAGGUAGCCCAAAAUACAAUGGCCCCCUAACAAGGGGACAAACCAAAAGGCCCCCUACCCCAAUGUCUUUGGUUGGGGCGACCGCGGGGAAAGAAAAAACCCCCACGUGGAACGGGAGUACAACUCCUUAAACUAAGAGCCCCAGCUCUAAGAAACAAAAUUUUUGACCUAUAGAUCCGGCAGUGCCGAUCAACGGACCGAGUUACUCUAGGGAUAACAGCGCAAUCCCCUUUUAGAGACCAUAUCAACAAGGGGGUUUACGACCUCGAUGUUGGAUCAGGACAUCCUAUUGGUGCAGCAGCUAUUAAGGGUUCGUUUGUUCAACGAUUAAAGUCCUACGUGAUCUGAGUUCAGACCGGAGCAAUCCAGGUCAGUUUCUAUCUAUGCCAUAUUCUUCUCUAGUACGAAAGGACCGAAAAGAAGGGGUCACUAUAUUUUAUACACCCUCCCUCUACCUAAUGAAAACAACUAAAAUAGACAAGGAGGUAUGCUUUCCCUGCCAGAGAAAAUGGCA